rnacentral:rRNA from 1 species
GGUUAAGCGAAUAAGCGUACACGGUGGAUGCCUAGGCAAUCAGAGGCGAUGAAGGACGUGCUAAUCUGCGAAAAGCGUCGGUAAGGUGAUAUGAACCGUUAUACCCGACGAUAUCCGAAUGGGGAAACCCAGUAUCCAAUGGAUACUAUCAUUAACUGAAUCCAUAGGUUAAUGAGGCGAACCGGGAGAACUGAAACAUCUCAGUACCCCGAGGAAAAGAAAUCAACCGAGAUUCCCCUAGUAGCGGCGAGCGAACGGGGAGCAGCCCAGAGUCUUAAUCAAUAGCAGUGUCAGGAGAACGGUCUGGAAAGUCCGGCAGUAAAGGGUGAUAGCCCCGUAUCUGAAGAUGCUGUUAUUGUGAACUCGACGAGUAGGGCGGGACACGUGUUAUCCUGUCUGAAUAUGGGGGGACCAUCCUCCAAGGCUAAAUACUCCUGAUUGACCGAUAGUGAACCAGUACCGUGAGGGAAAGGCGAAAAGAACCCCGGCGAGGGGAGUGAAAAAGAACCUGAAACCGUGUACGUACAAGCAGUAGGAGCCUCUUUAUGGGGUGACUGCGUACCUUUUGUAUAAUGGGUCAGCGACUUAUAUUCUGUAGCGAGGUUAACCGUAUAGGGGAGCCGUAGGGAAACCGAGUCUUAACUGGGCGAAUGAGUUGCAGGGUAUAGACCCGAAACCCGGUGAUCUAUCCAUGGGCAGGUUGAAGGUUGGGUAACACUAACUGGAGGACCGAACCGACUAAUGUUGAAAAAUUAGCGGAUGACUUGUGGAUGGGGGUGAAAGGCCAAUCAAACCGGGAGAUAGCUGGUUCUCCCCGAAAGCUAUUUAGGUAGCGCCUCGUGAACUCAUCUUCGGGGGUAGAGCACUGUUUCGACUAGGGGGUCAUCCCGACUUACCAACUCGAUGCAAACUGCGAAUACCGAAGAAUGUUAUCACGGGAGACACACGGCGGGUGCUAACGUCCGUCGUGAAGAGGGAAACAACCCAGACCGCCAGCUAAGGUCCCAAAGUCAUGGUUAAGUGGGAAACGAAGUGGGAAGGCUCAGACAGCCAGGAUGUUGGCUUAGAAGCAGCCAUCAUUUAAAGAAAGCGUAAUAGCUCACUGGUCGAGUCGGCCCGCGCGGAAGAUGUAACGGGGCUAAACCAUGCACCGAAGCUGCGGCAGCGACACAUAGUGUUGUUGGGUAGGGGAGCGUUCUGUAAGCCUGCGAAGGUGUACUGUGAGGUAUGCUGGAGGUAUCAGAAGUGCGAAUGCUGACAUAAGUAACGAUAAUGCGGGUGAAAAACCCGCACGCCGGAAGACCAAGGGUUCCUGUCCAACGUUAAUCGGGGCAGGGUGAGUCGACCCCUAAGGCGAGGCUGAAAAGCGUAGUCGAUGGGAAACGGGUUAAUAUUCCCGUACUGGUGGUAACUGCGAUGGGGGAACGGAGAAGGCUAGGUUGUCCGGGCGACGGUCGUCCCGGUUCAAGCAGGUAGGCAGAGUGAUUAGGCAAAUCCGGUCACUUAAUGCUGAGAUGUGAUGACGAACCACCAAGGUGGUGAAGCAAUUGAUGCCCCGCUUCCAGGAAAAGCCUCUAAGCUUCAGGUUACCAACAAUCGUACCCCAAACCGACACAGGUGGUCAGGUAGAGAAUACUCAGGCGCUUGAGAGAACUCGGGUGAAGGAACUAGGCAAAAUGGUGCCGUAACUUCGGGAGAAGGCACGCUGGCGGUAGGUAAAGUCCCUCGCGGACGGCGCCCAAGCCAGUCGAAGAUACCAGCUGGCUGCAACUGUUUAUUAAAAACACAGCACUGUGCAAACACGAAAGUGGACGUAUACGGUGUGACGCCUGCCCGGUGCUGGAAGGUUAAUUGAUGGGGUCAGCCGUAAGGCGAAGCUCCUGAUCGAAGCCCCAGUAAACGGCGGCCGUAACUAUAACGGUCCUAAGGUAGCGAAAUUCCUUGUCGGGUAAGUUCCGACCUGCACGAAUGGCGUAAUGAUGGCCAGGCUGUCUCCACCCGAGACUCAGUGAAAUUGAACUCGCUGUGAAGAUGCAGUGUACCCGCGGCAAGACGGAAAGACCCCGUGAACCUUUACUAUAGCUUGACACUGAACAUUGAGCCUUGAUGUGUAGGAUAGGUGGGAGGCUUUGAAGUGUGGACGCCAGUCUGCAUGGAGCCAACCUUGAAAUACCACCCUUUAACGUUUGAUGUUCUAACCUAGGCCCAUAAACUGGGUCGGGGACCGUGUCUGGUGGGUAGUUUGACUGGGGCGGUCUCCUCCUAAAGAGUAACGGAGGAGCACGAAGGUUGGCUAAGCAUGGUCGGACAUCAUGCGGUUAGUGCAAAGGCAUAAGCCAGCUUGACUGCGAGAGUGACGGCUCGAGCAGGUACGAAAGUAGGUCUUAGUGAUCCGGUGGUUCUGAAUGGAAGGGCCAUCGCUCAACGGAUAAAAGGUACUCCGGGGAUAACAGGCUGAUACCGCCCAAGAGUUCAUAUCGACGGCGGUGUUUGGCACCUCGAUGUCGGCUCAUCACAUCCUGGGGCUGAAGUAGGUCCCAAGGGUAUGGCUGUUCGCCAUUUAAAGUGGUACGCGAGCUGGGUUUAGAACGUCGUGAGACAGUUCGGUCCCUAUCUGCCGUGGGCGUUGGAAGAUUGAGAGGGGUUGCUCCUAGUACGAGAGGACCGGAGUGAACGCACCACUGGUGUUCGGGUUGUCAUGCCAAUGGCAUUGCCCGGUAGCUAAGUGCGGAAGAGAUAACCGCUGAAAGCAUCUAAGCGGGAAACUUGCCUCGAGAUGAGUCUUCCCUGUCGCUUUAAGCGACCUAAAGGAACGUUUAAGACUAAGACGUUGAUAGGCUGGGUGUGUAAGCGUAGCGAUACGUUGAGCUAACCAGUACUAAUGAACCGUGAGGCUUAACCUG